ensembl:lncRNA
GAAAUUCAAUUGUAUUUAAUUUGAUUCUUCUCAAUUCUAUUCAGUUUAUUUCAAUUUGAUUUAAUUCAGCUCUUCUUAAUUCAAUUCAGUUCAAUUCAAUUCCAUCCAAUUCAACUCAACUCCAUUUGUUUUAGUGAUAUUUACUCGCACAACAAAACUUUGCUUUCUAAAAGCAAAACACGGGGCUUAGAUACAGAAUACAAAGACUUUAUAGCAACACGAAUUUAGCAUCGGAGGGGAGCGAAAUAGUGUGUGUGUGUGUGUGUGUGUGUGUGUGUGUGUGUGUGUGUGUGUGUGUGUGUGUGUGUGUGUGUGUGUGUGUGUGUGUGUGUGUGUGUGUGUGUGUGUGUGAGAGCAUGUUCCAUCAGCCUCCCAUCCACUAACCAUCAUAAACACAUUUUCUUGUUUCUGUUUUCUGAAUUCAGCGAAGGGUUGGAAAUGUAAAUUCAACCAUGGAAAUAUCUGAAGAUACUUUGACAUAUUUUUACCAUUUUCUCCCAGGUUUGAGCGAGUGAAUAAAGACUCCUUUUAUGCCUAAACUGAGCUGCCUGGCCUGGGGAGAAGAAGGCGCAUGUUCUGUUUUAUUUAUGAAUCCAGGCUUGGAGUAACUCAUUCUUCUUUAUCCUCUUAUGUGUUGAGAGCUGCUAGUAAAUAUGGAAUUAUAGUUCUAAUGGUACUCCUGCAUUCCCGUUCCCCCUGUUUUCAAAGGGGUAGGAAAAGACAUCGUGUUCAGGAACGUGGAAUCUUCCAGAAGCUUCCAGUGCCUUUGUUCACAGAGACUGCAUUAUGUUCACUUCACAUAUAUAUAUAUAUAAGUCCAGAUGUUCUAGCCAAGUCUGUCUGCCCUCAUCACAGCAAUUUACUGUGCAUUUGUUUGUUUGUUUGUUUGUUUGUUUGUUUGAGUGAUUAUUUAUGUGUUUAACCUUGUUUUACAAUGAUCAGUCAUAGAGGUUGAUGUAAUUUAGUUUCUUGCCAGUAUCAUGGUUGUUAAAAUGUUUUACUGUUGUUAUUAGUUUAUCCUACCAUGCAUCUCUUGAGGGACAAUCUGCUGUGUUUAAUGUCGGAGUAAUGAGUAAUGUUUGGUAGUUUAGCAAUCUGCUGUGUUUAAUAUCGGAGUAAUUAACAAUGUUUGGUAGUUUAGCAAUCUGCUGUGUUUAAUGUUGGAGUAAUUAACAAUGUUUGGUAGUUUAGCAAUCUGCUGUGUUUAAUAUCGGAGUAAUUAACAAUGUUUGGUAGUUUAGCAAUCUGCUGUGUUUAAUAUCGGAGUAAUUAACAAUGUUUGGUAGUUUAGCAAUCUGCUGUGUUUAAUAUCGGAGUAAUUAACAAUGUUUGGUAGUUUAGCAAUCUGCUGUGUUUAAUGUUGGAGUAAUUAACAAUGUUUGGUAGUUUAGCAAUCAGCUGUGUUUAAUGUUGGAGUAACGAGUAAUGUUUGAUAGUUUAGCAAUCAGCUGUGUUUAAUGUUGGAGUAACGAGUAAUGUUUGAUAGUUUAGCAAUCUGCUGUGUUUAAUGUUGGAGUAACGAGUAAUGUUUGAUAGUUUAGCAAUCUGCUGUGUUUAAUGUUGGAGUAACGAGUAAUGUUUAAUAGUUAAGCCAGAGUAACCACAAACUACAAGGAAAAUACAUUUUAAUUAUUGCAUUAUGUUGCAGAAAUGCCCUUUAGAAAUAUGUUCCGGCAAAUCUUCACAGUGGAUAGACCACAUUCGGCCAUGUCAGUUUGGUUCCGGAACUUUCUGGAAAGAAUUUGCAUGCACAAUAAGUGCCGGUGUUCCACUGCAUAUUUCUUUCAUGGUUUAAUGAGCUCUUCAUCGCUAAUGUCCUGAUUAAAUGCACAUGUUAAUUAAACUUAGACUUGGGAUGCCGUACAGUCAUUUCACUCCGCUAUCAUCUGAGGUCCUCUAUCAAUCUUCAAACACUCUAGAAAAGCUGGGCUCUAUCCCUCAUAAUUGGUAUGCUAAUUGGGGAAAGUUCUGGAACAUUUCUGUGACACACACAAAUUUAUUUGACCCAGAAAGUGCCCAUUCUGACCUGCAACCUACUGAAUCUUACCAGCGUUAUGCCCAGAGUAUGGUGUUUCCCGGCGUACAUCUGGUAUGGCAGUGCACUCAUGAUGUCGUAGCCUACAUAUUCUUUUAGAACAUAUUACCCUACCAAUGCGAACACUUUGGAAUCUGUUAAAUGAAUAAAUGAAAAAUAAAUUGUUAAAUGUAUGGUGUUUAUUUCGGGGCGCAGUUGGAUUUUAGAUUUCUGAUACUGAGACAGUGAACACUGUGGACUCGAAAUUCAAGAAUACUCAGUAUUGAAGGACACUUCAGGACCACAAGGUGUGACAAAAGAUGACACGUUUAUAGGAGAAAGAAUUAUGAAGGGUUGGGCAAAUAAUCAGAAAUUUACAGAUACCAUUAUUUCUAACCUUUCACCAACCAAAUUAAUUAAUUAAUUAAUUAAGUAAUUCAUCAUAUAAAUCUAUAUUUUAUUACGUAUGUCUGGUUGUGAUUGAUUGUGAACACUCAUUUUCCCAAAGGCAUUUAUUACAGUAAAACUUGCCAAUACAGGAGAAAUGAUAGUGGCUUAAUUGUCACCAGGGUAAAUCUGUGAAAUGAUCACAAUGUUCACGGUUGGUUAGAUCCUCCAGCUCUCGAGUGACUCAUAUUCAGGAAUGACCCCUGUGUGAU